UACGUAGGGUGCGAGCGUUAAUCGGAAUUACUGGGCGUAAAGUGUGCGCAGGCGGCCGAGCAAGUCGAGUGUGAAAGCCCCCGAGCUUAACUUGGGAACUGCGCUCGAAACUACUUGGCUGGAGUGUGGCAGAGGAAGGUGGAAUUCCACGUGUAGCAGUGAAAUGCGUAGAUAUGCGGAGGAACACCGAUGGCGAAGGCAAUCCCCUGGGCCUGCACUGACGCUCAUGCACGAAAGCGUGGGGAGCAAACAGG
rnacentral:rRNA from 1 species